CUCUAAAUCGCCUGGGUGGCCGGUCUCAGCCGGUGGGGAGCCAGACCGGCCUACGCCUGAGAAUAAUUAUUACCAGCACGAGUGGUAGUUUGACCCGUGGGGAAUAAGCCUUGUGUCCUUGUGUGUGUGUGAUUUCUUUUAUUAAAGUUAUUAACGUGUGUUUUAGUCUUUUUAUGAUUUGUAGCGAGCCUGACGCUCAGUGUCCUUUUAUUCUUUUAACAUACUUUUCUGUGUUUUAUUUCAGUGAAGGAGGACGAGCCAGUGGCCCUGGGACCUCAGGUGGUGGGUCGUUUUCACACUUUCUUUUGUACAGCACUGGGUGGUCUGUAGUGAUUCUUUUGGUGUGAUUUUCUUUUGGUUCCACGGCUGCUGGCAAGGCUGGACUGGGACAAAAAAUCGGCCCGGGCAUUUUGACUAGAGACCGGCCCACCAGGAUAAAGAUUGAAAAUGUGACGUCAUUCAGGGAUAAAACCGCAAAGGAUUCUGGGAACUUGUGGCAAGAGGUACUAGCGCACGCAGGCUUUCAAUUGAACUCAGUUACACAGCGAUAAAAAGAAACCCAAAAAAUGGCAAGAAGCUGUUGUAUUAUUAACUUCAAUAGCCGGUCGCAUGACAGCCACGGGAAGCCGAUGGGUAAAGAGAUCUUUUUUUUUUUUUUAUCGGAUUACGUCGUUGAAGAGAAAUUUUUUAAGCCAUGUUUCCGAAGUAAGAGCCGACGGAUGGUCUGGAUAUACCAAAUAUAACGUCUCAGAACACUCCAGCUCACAUGUUAGUCUGCUCCAAGCAUUCCCACAAAGGUUCUCAUCCACAUCACAUCUUAUGUCAUCUAGGGCAACACACCUAGGAAAGAAUCUUCUGGCAUGCCAGAAUUGAAGGAGUUGAAAAAUUGAAGGAGUAACAACUGUGUAGAUGUUCAUCCACAAUGAGAAUCAGCUGUGGCUGGUUAAACUGCAUUGUUAGAUUUAAAAUAUGUUUCAGUAAAAUAUUGCCGUUGGAUUUUGCUGUCUUUUCAAGUUUUGCAUUGUGUUAUUGUUUUGACCAUGAGUUUAACAGUUUUGAAAACAGUAUGUAAGCACAUGCAAAAUGUCCUGUCCCUACAAAGCUUUUUGGCAGUUGUUGUGUCUGAGUGAGAAGAUGAUUCAUGUAAUUUGAGAGAUGUAGUCAUUGAAUGCAUUUUGUGCCAAAACAAUGAUAACUGGUCCUCAGUUUAGCCCACAUAGACUUCUGUUGUGC
ensembl:lncRNA